AAUGGACUAGUUCCUCCUUAGA
rnacentral:tRNA from 1 species